rnacentral:lncRNA from 1 species
UUGGUGGUAUAUCCUUUGAGUUUUAACAGCAAUCCUUUCACAAAGGUGACACAUCCAGGUUCAGAGUAUUUCUUAUGGAGUAAAACUGGUAAAGAUCUGUUAAUGUAUCAAAAAAUAAAAGAAACUCUUGAUCCAUGCUUCUGAGUUGGUAGAAAUUGAAGCUUCUUUAAACUUAUUGUUGCAUUGACAUAUAGCUACGCUUAUCC